CACGGGGGGAGCGAACGUUGUUCGGAAUCACUGGGCGUAAAGGGCGUGUAGGCGGUUCGGUAAGUGGAAUGUGAAAUCCCCCGGCUUACCCGGGGAACUGCAUCCCAUACUGCUGGACUUGAGUGCGGGAGAGGAUGGAGGAAUUCCUGGUGUAGCGGUGAAAUGCGUAGAGAUCCGGAGGAACACCAGUGGCGAAGGCGACACGCUGGGCCGUACCUGACACUGAUGCGCGACAGCAUGGGGAGCAAACAGG
rnacentral:rRNA from 1 species